CUCCUUUAAUGGUAAAAACCUUUUUUUUUUUUUUUUAAAAAAAAAAGAGCAUUAACAAUGCCAUGCCUGAAGCCUAUGCCAACAGCCUUUGGAGCCUUACCUCCACCUGUGCAAUAUGAAAGACAGCUUCUUCUGAUAUCAUCAAACUUAAGUCUCUGUGAGCAAUUCUUCCUUAAGUUUUUCUUCUGGUACAGAAAAGCCACGCUCCAGCUGAGGUUUGUAUUCAUUCUCUUCUUCUCACCAGCAAACACCAUGAAAGACACAGAGAAAGGAAUUUGUUAAGCACCAGAUAAAUCCACAAACUUAAAGUGUCCAUACAAAAUAAAAAUACAGUUACAUAUGUGCCCUUUUACCACAAGUUCAGGAGUUGUUACGGUCUUCUAAUGUCCAUUAAUUAACUUUAACUUUACCACCUGGAGACGUCACCUGUGUCUGACUGUUGUUGCUAGCUUCUGACUGUGCAGAUAUUUUUUCUUCAUUGAUCCAUCUCAUAGGCCUCUUCCAGCAGCCUGCAGUCAUCUUCACCUGCCUGAAAUGACCUGUUAAGUCCACCUGCUCUCCCUGGCUACAAUUUGGGCUCCUCGCUGCAACUCCAACCUUUGCCAGAAACCUCCAGAGUUAUGAUAGGAAAGACAGCUGCUUAGAGCACCUCCAAGUCAAACAACCUUAAAACAACUGGAGCCUCUACCUCAAAC